UACGUAGGGUGCAAGCGUUGUCUGGAAUUAUUGGGCGUAAAGAGCUCGUAGGCGGUUCGUCGCGUCGGCUGUGAAAACCCGGAGCUCAACUCCGGGCCUGCAGUCGAUACGGGCGGACUUGAGUGUUGCAGGGGAGACUGGAAUUCAUGGUGUAGCAGUGAAAUGCGUAGAGAUCAUGAGGAAGACCAGUGGCGAAGGCGGGUCUCUGGACAGUUCCUGACACUGAGGCACGAAGGCCAGGGGAGCAAACGGG
rnacentral:rRNA from 1 species